rnacentral:rRNA from 1 species
UACGUAGGUGGCAAGCGUUGUCCGGAAUUACUGGGUGUAAAGGGAGCGUAGGCGGGAAUACAAGUCCAGUGUUAAAACUAACGGCUCAACCGAUAGAUGCGCUGGAAACUGUAUUUCUUGAGUGAAGUAGAGGCAGGCGGAAUUCCUAGUGUAGCGGUGAAAUGCGUAGAUAUUAGGAGGAACACCAGUGGCGAAGGCGGCCUGCUGGGCUUUACUGACGCUGAGGCUCGAAAGCAUGGGUAGCAAACAGGAUUAGAUACCCUGGUAGU